GACAGAGGUGGCAAACGUUGUUCGGAAUUACUGGCGUAAAGCGCGUGUAGGCUGCUUCGCAGUCGGAUGUGAAAGCCCUGGGCUCAACCCAGGAAGUGCAUUCGAAACUGCAGAGCUGGAGUCCUGGAGAGGAAGGCGGAAUUCUCGGUGUAGAGGUGAAAUUCGUAGAUAUCGAGAGGAACACCGGUGGCGAAGGCGGCCUUCUGGACAGUGACUGACGCUGAGACGCGAAAGCGUGGGGAGCAAACAGG
rnacentral:rRNA from 1 species